ensembl:lncRNA
ACUAAGCAACAAUAAAGACUGAGCUUUGUAGUCAACUCUGCUACUCACAGAGUUUAUUUUUCUACUUCACGGGAAUGACUCAUCAGUCUUCCGCACAAAGAAAUGCGCACUCUGACAGGUUACGGGCCCAGAGAUGAAGAGAUAAGGCGGUCCAGAUCGACUGAUAAGAUGUUUCUGGAAGACGGACUACAGAACUUCGUUUGCCGUGAGUAGAGUGGAGUUUUUAGCCUGCUAUCUGCAGAAGAAGCUUCUCGCUGACUUCCUGAAAGUUCUCUUACUACUGACCAUGGCGUUAGUUGAUCCUGCUGUGGCCUUACCAAUUGAAAGGCUUUCGGGGACUAACUAUGCUUUUUGGAAAGUUAAGAUUGAAUCUUUCUUGAUACGCGAAAAUCUUUGGCAGUAUAUAGAGGCUCCUCCAGCUCAGCCAGAUGAAGGUCAGAUAGCUGCUGACAGAAAGGCAAUGGCAACAAUUAAGCUUUCUCUGGAGAAUUCACAGCUGUGCCUAUUACGAGGGCUGACUACAGCAAAGCAAUGCUGGGAUGCUUUNGCAGCAAUCUAUCAACGUCCAUCAACAGGAGUUUUGGUGAUGCUAUCCAGACGGCUCUACAGAGCGAGGCUGCAAUGUGGAGAUUCGGUGAUUCCCCACAUCCACAAGAUGAAAGCAAUGUUCGCUGAACUUGCUGAAAGAGGUUUGGAUUUCCAAGACAACCAUAAAGCAUUGAUUCUACUAUCCUCCCUAGAUGAAAGCUGGGAUUCAUUGGUGACCAGUCUUGAAGUUGUGCCAAGUUUGGAAUUUAGCUUUGAUUUUGUCAUUUCAAAGUUAUUGGAUGCUCAACAGAAAAGGGAUUAUAAAGAAGAACAACCGCGUACAACCAAGAAGGGGGAUGUUUCUGCAAUUGCUUCUACAUCAAAGACUGCUCCCAAGGUAAAGUGUUACAAAUGUCAAAAGUUUGGACAUAUUGCAAAACAUUGUAGGAGUACAUCUGUCUCCAAAAGAAGUGCUGGCCAAGCGCAGCAAACGAACAGAGNUAAUUGGAAAAGAGAUAACACUGAACAGGCUUUCCUGAUAACAACAGAAACUGANACUAACAAGUUCAUAAUUGACUCUGGUUCCACNAGACAUAUUGUAAANAGAANNGAACUUUUACANGACUUAAACACUUUUGAUGAAGC